UAACUUUUCAGCGGUGGAACGCUCAUAAUAUAUUUUUUUGAACAGAAUGGUCUUUAAAAUUCACACGGAUAAUGCUGCCAAUAUAUCGAAACCAAAAGCUAUUACACUUAGAAAGAAAGAGAAAACACCCUUGACACCACAUAAUAAGAAUACUUUCAGGAGGAAAGUGAAAUUGAGAACACCGAAAGAUUCCAUAACUAGGAAAAUGAUGAAUAAGGAGAAUGUUGCUGAAUCAAACCUUUCCUCCAUUCGACGAUCAAUUCGAUC
rnacentral:rRNA from 13 species